rnacentral:rRNA from 1 species
AGAGCGAACGCUGGCGGCAGGCUUAACACAUGCAAGUCGAGCGGAUGUAGCAAUACAUCAGCGGCAGACGGGUGAGUAACACGUGGGAACGUACCUUUUGGUUCGGAACAACACAGGGAAACUUGUGCUAAUACCGGAUAAGCCCUUACGGGGAAAGAUUUAUCGCCGAAAGAUCGGCCCGCGUCUGAUUAGCUAGUUGGUGAGGUAAUGGCUCACCAAGGCGACGAUCAGUAGCUGGUCUGAGAGGAUGAUCAGCCACAUUGGGACUGAGACACGGCCCAAACUCCUACGGGAGGCAGCAGUGGGGAAUAUUGGACAAUGGGCGCAAGCCUGAUCCAGCCAUGCCGCGUGAGUGAUGAAGGCCCUAGGGUUGUAAAGCUCUUUUGUGCGGGAAGAUAAUGACGGUACCGCAAGAAUAAGCCCGGCUAACUUCGCGCCAGCCAGCCGC